AUGGAGGCCUUGAAGGAGAUCUUAAACAGCUAUGAAGCGGCCUCGGGGCAACGUGUGAACUUAGAGAAAUCUUCAAUCUUCUUUGGAAAGGGCUGCCGGGAUGACACAAAGGUAGAGAUGAAAGGGGUGCUUGGGAUUGACUCAGAAGCUCUAAGUGAACGAUAUCUUGGGUUGCCAACAAUGGUUGGCCGAUCCAAGGAAGGCACUUUCAAGUAUGUCACGGAAAGCUCAAAAUCAAAGGUG
rnacentral:rRNA from 1 species